UAAAUUUGAGCCAAUAACAAAUUUCACAGGGAACUUUAGUGACAGAAUCACAUGGUGAGAAUAUCCCUGGAUUUAGUUUUGGAAGACCUUGAUAUUAUGUGUCUCUCCCCUCUCCCUAUCUUUUGUCCUCAGCUGAGAGACAUUGACCAGUAACCCAAUAAAAUGACAAUACCUACUAUUUUACAUGGUUCUAUGAUGAUAUUUCAGAUCAUAUUUACAAUUUUUUUCAUAUUUACAAUUUAUUGAAAAAGCUUUAAAAGCCAAAUUCCAUACAAAACUGAAAAAUGGUCAUACAUCCUGUAUCAGACAAUUGUCAAUGACCCAGAGAUAUCUGGCCUUCUGAGGCUUACAAAGUCCUUAAAUUAUCAUAUAAUUUUUACCAUGAAGCAGCUUGAAUCCAGAAAGUGGGAAAGAUCUCUUGUCUUCCAGUUCUGCCUGUUUUCCAUCACACCACACAUCCAGAAGGCCAGCAUUCCAGAAAUAGGUUCCUGUGCCUUUUGGCAUGAGUCUUUUCAAGCAGCAUGAUUGCAGAAGAGAAUCCUGUUAUGCUAUAGGAGGAUGAUGGGAUCUGAGACAGUGGCUUCCAAUCCUGGCUGCAUAUUAAUCCCUCCUGUCACCAAAGCUUUAAAAAUAAUGCCAGUCUCUGUCACUACCCCCUCCCUGUCCUUGUCUAAGCCAAUUAAAAGAAUCCUUUGGGGUAGAUGCCA